UACGGAGGGUGCAAGCGUUAAUCGGAAUUACUGGGCGUAAAGCGCGCGUAGGCGGUUAUUUAAGCGAGAUGUGAAAUCCCAGGGCUCAACCUUGGAAUGGCAUUUCGAACUGGGUAGCUAGAGUACAAGAGAGGGUGGUGGAAUUUCCAGUGUAGCGGUGAAAUGCGUAGAUAUUGGGAAGAACACCAACGGCGAAAGCACUUUACUAGGCCGACACUGACACUAAGAGACGAAAGCUAGGGUAGCGAACGGG
rnacentral:rRNA from 1 species